GCGAGUGAUAAAAUCCGUCGUCAAGAGGGAAACAACCCAGACUACCAGCUAAGGUCCCUAAAUCUUACUUAAGUGGAAAACGAUGUGAAGUUACUUAAACAACCAGGAGGUUGGCUUAGAAGCAGCCAUCCUUUAAAGAAAGCGUAAUAGCUCACUGGUCUAGUGAUUUUGCGCGGAAAAUAUAACGGGGCUAAAGUAAGUACCGAAGCUGUAGACUUGCGCACAACUUAGAUUAUUUAAGUUUAGAAUAUGAGAAACUAAGUUAUAUGUUUAGUUAUAUUUUUACUGAUUUUUAUAGAGUAAAGAUAGAAAUAAAACUUAGUAAAAUCAGUAAAAAUAUUCUUAGACUAAAGUUAAGUAGUUUAAGUUGUGUGCAAGUGGUAGGAGAGCGUUCUAUUUGCGUCGAAGGUAUACCGGUAAGGAGUGCUGGAGCGAAUAGAAGUGAGCAUGCAGGCAUGAGUAGCGAUAAUUAAUGUGAGAAUCAUUAACGCCGUAAACCCAAGGUUUCCUACGCGAUGCUCGUCAUCGUAGGGUUAGUCGGGUCCUAAGUCGAGUCCGAAAGGGGUAGACGAUGGCAAAUUGGUUAAUAUUCCAAUACCAACAUUAGUGUGCGAUGGAAGGACGCUUAGGGCUAAGGGGGCUAGCGGAUGGAAGUGCUAGUCUAAGGUCGUAGGAGGUUAUACAGGCAAAUCCGUAUAACAAUACUCCGAGAACUGAAAGGCUUUUUGAAGUCUUCGGAUGGAUAGAAGAACCCCUGAUGCCAUCGAGCCAAGAAAAGUUUCUAAGUUUAGCUAAUGUUGCCCGUACCGUAAACCGACACAGGUGGGUGGGAUGAGUAUUCUAAGGCGCGUGGAAGAACUCUCUUUAAGGAACUCUGCAAAAUAGCACCGUAUCUUCGGUAUAAGGUGUGGUUCGCUUCGUAUUAGGAUUUACUCCGAAAGCGAAGAAACUUACAACAAAGAGUCCCUCCCGACUGUUUACCAAAAACACAGCACUCUGCUAACUCGUAAGAGGAUGUAUAGGGUGUGACGCCUGCCCGGUGCUCGAAGGUUAAUUGAUGGGGUUAGCAUUAGCGAAGCUCUUGAUCGAAGCCCGAGUAAACGGCGGCCGUAACUAUAACGGUCCUAAGGUAGCGAAAUUCCUUGUCGGUUAAAUACCGACCUGCAUGAAUGGCGUAACGAGAUGGGAGCUGUCUCAAAGAGGGAUCCAGUGAAAUUGUAGUGGAGGUGAAAAUUCCUCCUACCCGCGGCAAGACGGAAAGACCCCGUGGACCUUUACUACAGCUUGACACUGCUAUUUGGAUAAGAAUGUGCAGGAUAGGUGGGAGGCUUUGAGUAUAUGACGCCAGUUGUAUAUGAGCCAUUGUUGAGAUACCACUCUUUCUUAUUUGGGUAGCUAACCAGCUUGAGUUAUCCUCAAGUGGGACAAUGUCUGGUGGGUAGUUUGACUGGGGCGGUCGCCUCCCAAAUAAUAACGGAGGCUUACAAAGGUUGGCUCAGAACGGUUGGAAAUCGUUCGUAGAGUAUAAAGGUAUAAGCCAGCUUAACUGCAAGACAUACAAGUCAAGCAGAGACGAAAGUCGGUCUUAGUGAUCCGGUGGUUCUGUGUGGAAGGGCCAUCGCUCAAAGGAUAAAAGGUACCCCGGGGAUAACAGGCUGAUCUCCCCCAAGAGCUCACAUCGACGGGGAGGUUUGGCACCUCGAUGUCGGCUCAUCGCAUCCUGGGGCUGGAGCAGGUCCCAAGGGUAUGGCUGUUCGCCAUUUAAAGCGGUACGCGAGCUGGGUUCAGAACGUCGUGAGACAGUUCGGUCCCUAUCUGCCGUGGGCGUAAGAAGAUUGAAGAGAUUUGACCCUAGUACGAGAGGACCGGGUUGAACAAACCACUGGUGUAGCUGUUGUUCUGCCAAGAGCAUCGCAGCGUAGCUAAGUUUGGAAAGGAUAAACGCUGAAAGCAUCUAAGCGUGAAGCCAACUCUAAGAUGAAUCUUCUCUAAGCUCUCUAGAAGACUACUAGUUUGAUAGGCUGGGUGUGUAAUGGAUGAAAGUCCUUUAGCUGACCAGUACUAAUAGAGCGUUUGGCUUAUCUUUAAUAAAGCAU
rnacentral:rRNA from 1 species